UUUUCAUCCACAUGUCAGUGUUGGACAUACCAGGACAGUUCUUCUGUUUUCUUCAAGAGAACCUGAAGUCAAAAAGCUGUUGUCCUGUGAAGCUGGUGCUGCUCCGUGGUCAGUCUCACCGGGAAAGGUGUACUGAGGUUCCACCAACCACAACCCUCUCCCGUGUGCUAGAUACAGUAGGGAAUAUCUACUCGCAGUCGGUGAGCCAGUAGCCAGUGAGUGCGAGAGAGACAGUAAAUACAGUGCAUGGGAACGUGCAACACACUAGAGAAGUUAUCCUGUGUGUGUGGGUUCUGCAGUUUUCUCAGCUCAAGUCAACAAGAUCUGUUGAGCCGUAGACUAUGACACGGAAGAGGAGCUCACUGUGUCGCAUUAAAAUCACACCUUUUUCUGUGAGUAAUGCUAAUUUGGAGAAACUUGGACUGAGGGCAGUUUUUUUCACUCACCUGGGACAUCAUUUAAAAAAUCAACAGAGGAAAAUGAAACCUUAGCCUUUGACACUUAUAUCAUAGACCAGCCAUCAAAUGACUUUAAUGAGGUAGAGGCAAAAAGUGGUUCAAUUAACAAUGGUGGGGAAGAGUAUGUAGAAGCUGAGACUCUGGAACAUAAAAUUGCAUCUCUUUUUGAUGGUGAUGAAUGUUGAAAUUGGUCGUCAGAUGUACAUGUACACUAUUUUAAAUGUCUGUUUUAAAAGUUUACACUGGGCUUGCAUGAUUCCAUCUUGAAUGAUACAGUCAUGUGUUUCUUUAAUGUUUGUUGAAAAUAAAUAAACAUGGAAAUUGAAGUGGCU